rnacentral:rRNA from 1 species
GACGAACGCUGGCGGCGUGCUUAACACAUGCAAGUCGAACGGAAAGGCCCCCUUGUGGGGUACUCGAGUGGCGAACGGGUGAGUAACACGUGAGUAACCUACCCUUGACUUUGGGAUAACUUCAGGAAACUGAGGCUAAUACCGGAUAGGAGCUCCUGCUGCAUGGUGGGGGUUGGAAAGUUUCGGCGGUUGGGGAUGGACUCGCGGCUUAUCAGCUUGUUGGUGGGGUAGUGGCUCACCAAGGCUUUGACGGGUAGCCGGCCUGAGAGGGUGACCGGCCACAUUGGGACUGAGAUACGGCCCAGACUCCUACGGGAGGCAGCAGUGGGGAAUAUUGCACAAUGGGCGGAAGCCUGAUGCAGCAACGCCGCGUGCGGGAUGACGGCCUUCGGGUUGUAAACCGCUUUCGCCUGUGACGAAGCGUGAGUGACGGUAAUGGGUAAAGAAGCACCGGCUAACUACGUG